AUGAAGCAGAUGGAGGAGGCGGUGGGGCUGCUCGUGGAGCGCCUGGUGAAGCCCGUGGUGCCGCAGGGCCUGGAGCGGAGCUACAUGGCGCCCGAGAAGCAGACCGCCGUUGCGCAGCAGAUUCAUAUGGCUAUCAUUCUGUAUAAUUACUACCACAGGAAGAUGUUUCCAUACCUUGAGUUCGCUGAUGCCAAACUGUUUCUUGUGUGUGCUUCACAUUUUAUUGGAGAAGAUGUGCUCACGCACCUCCACAAGCAGCAAAACAAGUCUGGAAAGCAUGCGAGCUCAUCUAUUUUUGACAGAGCGGCAAUGCAGGCUUGUGAGAUCGCCCGAGGACUCGAUGCGAGCAAAGAUUCUCCAGACAUGGCAUUGUGGCCAAUAUCGAAAGUUGCCGUGAUUCUUCUCGACUCAACAAGAAAAAGGUGUUUGAUGGAGUAUAGUGCUAAUACUGCUGGUGUCUGGUCAAUCAUAGAGAAGGAAAUUGAUACAGAAGCUGGUAAAUCAGCUUUGGCUGGACCAUAUAUGUUUCAGAAACUAGCAUUUUCAGAGGUGGAACAUAGAACAGGUAUGAAGGGCUCAAACUUCCGUGUUCUCGAUGAAAAGUUGGCAUACUCAUUGAGUAAAGAAAGGACAACUACCAACGUGUUCAUUCUGGAGUAUGUGCAAACCAUGAAAGGCAACCUUGUGGAAAUAUCUCUAGAAGACUUGAUUAGCAGUAUGACUGGUCCAGUAUGUGUAAAUGUUCCGUUCGCGAAAACAACAUCUGUUGUUGAGUACUAUUAUAUUCUUCCAUAUAAGGAGAUUUUGUUUGAACUCCUGAACAGGGAAUGGCCUUCUGAUGGAAAUGUUGAACUGCAAGACAUGAAUAGCACGUUUAAGAAAAAACCUAUUAAAAAGGUGUCAACUCCAAAGCAGAGUAAACAAACGAUUGGUGCCAAAAGCAGCCACAAGGUCCAGAAGUCCAGAGACAGCAGACUUGAGAAAAACAGCAAAAGAAAGUUUGAAACCUCCAGGGCUACAUAUGCUGUCUAUGCGGAGGGUCCGGAUGGUGAGAGCCCCACAAUAAAAAUUGGUUCAACAAAUACAAAAGCAACAACAGUGGCGGCAACGGGCGGACAAACUAUAGUCCCUCAAGAUAGAGAGAACGAAAAACAAAAACAAUCUAUAAACACGAAUGUUCCCCAAGAUGUUCCAAUAGAGAGUAAACAAACGAUUGGUGCCAAAAGGAGCCACAAGGUCCAGAAGUCCAGAGCCAGCAGACUUGAGAAAAACAGCAAAAGAAAGUUUGAAGCCUCCAGGGCUACUGAUGCUGUCUAUGCGGAGGGUCCGGAUAAAAGCCCCACAAUACAAAUUGAUUCAAGAAAUACAAAAACAACAACAGCUGCGGCAACGGGCGGACAAACUAUAGUCCCUCAAGAUGGAGAGAACGAAAAACCAAAACAAUCUAUAUACACGAAUGUUCCCCAAGAUGUUCGAGUAGAGAGUAAACAAACGAUUGGUGCCAAAAGCAGCCACAAGGUCCAGAAGUCCAGAACCAGCAAACUAGAGAAAAACAGCAAAAGAAAGUUUGAAGCCUCCAGGGCUACAGAUGCUGUCUAUGAGGAGGGUCCGGAUGGUGAGAGCCCCACAAUCCAAAUUGAUUCAACAAAUACAAAAGCAACAACCGUGGCAGCAAUGGGCGAACAAACUAUAGUCCCUCAAGAUGGAGAGAACGAAAAACCAAAACAAUCUAUAUACACAAAUGUUCCCCAAGAUGUUCGAGUAGAGAGUAAACAAACGAUUGGUGCCAAAAGCAGCCACAAGGUCCAGAAGUCCAGAACCAGCAAACUAGAGAAAAACAGCAAAAGAAAGUUUGAAGCCUCCAGGGCUACAGAUGCUGUCUAUGAGGAGGGUCCGGAUGGUGAGAGCCCCACAAUCCAAAUUGAUUCAACAAAUACAAAAGCAACAACCGUGGCAGCAAUGGGCGAACAAACUAUAGUCCCUCAAGAUGGAGAGAACGAAAAACAAAAGCAAUUUAUGUACACGAAUGUUCCGCAAGAUGUUCCAAUAGAGGUCACUUGA
rnacentral:rRNA from 1 species